GAUGAAUGCUGGCGGCGUGCCUAACACAUGCAAGUCGAGCGGCAGCGAGGGGUGCUUGCACCCUGUCGGCGAGCGGCGAUCGGCUGAGUAACGCGUAGGAAUUUGCCCCAAAGUGAGGAAUAACUGCCCGAAAGGGUAGCUAAUGCCGCAUAUGGUCUUCGGAUUAAAGGAUUUAUCCGCUUUGGGAGAAGCCUGCGUUGGAUUAGGUUGUUGGUAGGGUAAUGGCCUACCAAGCCGACGAUCCAUAGCUGGUCUGAGAGGAUGAUCAGCCAGACUGGAACUGAGACACGGUCCAGACUCCUACGGGAGGCAGCAGUGAGGAAUCUUCCACAAUGGGCGAAAGCCUGAUGGAGCAACGCCGCGUGAAGGAUGAAGGCCUUCGGGUUGUAAACUUCUUUUAUGAGUGAAGAAUAUGACGGUAACUCAUGAAUAAGCACCGGCUAACUACGUG
rnacentral:rRNA from 1 species